AGUCACUGUCUAUUUGGUAGUGGGAUUCCUCCUCAAAGCUUGCUGUGGGUCACCAGGGAAGCUGGAGGGAAUUCUAAGCCCCUCCAAAAUCAAGCUGAGGAUUGAACUGCCCUGCACUGCUGUCCCUUUGCCGGGAAAGGUUUUACUUGGAGCUGCAGAUUAAAGUGGCCUGAGCUACUGUCCCUUUGCCGGGAAAGGUUUUACUUGGAGCUGCAGAUUAAAGUGGCCUGAGCUGCUGUCCCUUUGCUGGAAAAGGUUUUCUUCCUCCAGCGGCUGAUCUCUUCAUCAGAAUUAUCAAAGUUCUGGUCAGCCAGGUUCCCCUCCAAAACCACAGCCAUUUUCAGGAAGCAAAAGCAGCUUCGAUUUAUAAGGGCCACUGAACGCUUUUAUGGCAUGCUUAGGAAUUAACAAAAAUCAAAUCGAACAAUGUGAAAUCGUGCCCUUUUGUGUGUGUUCAUCAGAAGGGCUUGGAAAACCAAAUUACGUAUUGUUAUUUGUUUUUUAUACAGAAACAAUAUUGAAAAAAAAAGGCCCCUUGUUGAAUUUGUAAAUUAAAACAAGGAGCUGCUUACUUAAAAUUUUGAGAGCCCCCAAAGACCCAAUACUGCAAAUGAAAAACACACAGGAUUGAUAGACGUUUUCAUCCUAUCUAAAUAUGAGAAAGGAUGAUAUGUUGUAUUGACAUUUAGGCUAAAUCUUUCCCUUAUAGGGUGAUUGACAUAAAUAGCUUGGACCGUGUAACUCUUAAAGAGAAGGCGCACACACAUUUCUUAAAGGUCCCAGCUGCUAUUCUCACUGGAGGCAUAAAGUUGGAAUCCCAACUUCCAAUAUCAAAUUUUAGCACAAGUCCUAUAAAAUGUAUCUUGUCAGAAUGUGCCAGAACCGCUAAGCUCUUUUCUGCGGAACAAACCGCAGCUGGUGUCCUUAGGGGUCGGGAACGUAAUCAACUUGCUGCAUCCUCAGGGUUUAGGCAGCAAAUUGGUCCCAGUUUUCACCCUGCCACGGGGCUGGCUGGGGAGGGCAGGGGUUUAGAUUAGCCGUGGCCUAGGCCGUUUGACGGGGCGACACGAGCCUGCAGGGCCGAGGCCAAGGCCUGGAGAUAGGACCAACGGCCAGGAAUGCGAGGAAUGUUUUUCUUCGGACUCUAUGGAGGCACAGACCAUGGGGAUUGUGUCUGCAGUGACAGCCUUAACAUUCGCCAGAGCCCUGGACGGCUGCAGAAAUGGCAUUGCCCACCCUGUAAGUGAGAAGCCACACAGAUGUGAGGACACACAGGCAAACGUUACGCGGCAGCUUUGGGAGAGGCUUUUUAUGCCUGUCUCUUUCCACUGGCAGCACAGAUUCGAGAAAAGCACGGAACUCGAGAGCAGCCACUCGGCCUCCGGGAUCAUCCCGGCACUGAAGAAAAACCCAGAGAAAUUAUCCCUCAGCCCGAAAUGAAGCCGGGAUCAAACGGUUGCUGAUCAGAGCAAAUAUUUAAAUUGAGAAAGUCAAAUUGAGCGUUAUUAAAUAAAGCUCGUUUUACAUGUCUCAAACAGAAA